UCCAUGGCCACUGCCAUCUUUGUGGGGUUAAUUUGCAUACUUUCCCUGAUUGGCUGGUGGGUAUAGCAGAGGGAUGGUCAAUUUGCAUGUUUUCCUUUUAUUAGUGUAGAUUAUUAUAGAUGAAGUGGUGGUCUGUAUCUUGUCAUAACAAAGGAUAGUGAUUUCUUACUGAGGGUAAAAUACUGUGUUUAUAAACAAUAGCAUUCUCAAAGGCUAGGUAGUUGUUAUUUGUCUGUAUAAGUCUAAACUUUAUUCUUUGAUAUUUCUCCCAAGUUUUUAUUUUGAAAAAUUUCAGAUGACAGAAACAUUGCAAGAAUAGUACAAAAUACACCUGUACAUCCUUCACUUGGAUCACUUGUUAUCAGUAUAUAGCCACUUUGCUUUUUCUUGCUUUCCCAAAGCACAGGCACACAAUGAAUGUAUGUACAUAAACAUUUGGUUUUUGCUAAAUCAUUUAAGAUUAAGCUAUAGAAUUAUGGUGAUUCAGCCAUAAACACGUUAGCCAGUAUCUCCUAAGAGUAAGGAUAUAACUCAUUUGUCACACCCCAUUUAACAUUGAUAACAAUACUGAUACCUAAUAUAGAGUCUCUCUUUAAUUUUCCCCAGGUAUCCUAAUAAUGUGUCCUUUGUAGUUAUGUUUUUUAAAAUAACAGCUUUAUUAUGAUAUAAUUCACAUACCAUACAAUUCACCUUUUAAAGUGUACAAUUCAGCCCUGAGCAGUGGUUAGAGUGUGGGCCCAUGCACCAAAGGGUUGUGGGUUUGAUUCCUGAUCCCAGUAGGGGUGUAUGUGGGAGGCAACCAAUCAAUGUUUCUCACAUCAAUGUUUCUCUCUCCCCCGCUUCCUACCCGCCACUCUCUAAAAGGCAAUGGAAAAAAUAUCCUCUGGUGAGGAUUGACAGCAACAACAAAAAGUGUACAAUUCAGUGGGUUUUCCUAAAUUCAGAGUUGUGCUACCAUUGCCACAAAUCAGUUUUAAAACAGUUUUAUUACCCUAAGAGGAAACUCUAUGUGCCAUGAGCAGUCACUUCCCUUCCCUACCCUAACUUCUAGCCCUGGGCAACCACUAAUCUAUUUUCUGUCUCUCUAGAUUUUUUUCUUUCUGGGCAUUUCAUAUAAAUACAGUAAAACCUCAACGUAACGGACUAAUUCAGAUGCGGGGUAUCUGUUAAAACUGAAAGUUCGUUAUAUAAUAGAGUAGGUUUUCCGAAUGCAUGUUAACAAAACUGACAAAUUAGUUUACCUGUUUUUAUUGAUGUAGAUAAUUUGUGAAUUUAAAAUUAUGUAUGAAAAUUUUAAUUUCAUGUAGAAGUUUUCUAUAUGUAUUACAGCAAUUAAAAAUUUAUAUUGAAUAGAUCACUGCGAGUAAAUAAAUGCUAGAACAUUGGCUAGCAUGCAUUAAAACUGCUGCAGAAAGUCAUGCCAUGCAACAACAGAACCAAUUACCACUUGCAAUGUGGUGCGAUCAUGUGCUAAUCAUUUGCUGAACGUUGUUUACUAGCGGCGACUCUUGGAUAUAAAUAUGUAGACUGUAGUUGUAGAUGUGUAAUAUUUAAUUAUGUGAAAUUACUACAGAUUUUCCCAACAUUUGGCCUAUCUGCCUAAAUUUGUUGAAAAUAACAGUGAAUUAAUAACAAAUGAAAAUGACCUGUUAAUUUAAUUAUAAGCAAAUAUAGGUUAAAAGUAUUUUCAAAUUAACAGGGCAUUAAUUUUUGCAUAUGACGUGUGGACCAGAAAUUUUGUUUGUUAAAUCGAAAGUCUGUUAAAUUGAAGUCUGCAAAAUCGAGGGUUUACUGUAUAAUCAAUCAUACAAUAUGUGAUCUUUUGUAACUGAUUUCUCUCACUGUAAUGAUUUCGAGGUUCAUCUAUAUUGUAUUAUGUAUAAGUACUUAAUUCCUUUUAUGGCUGAAUAAUAUUAUAUGGAUAUACCACAUUUUGUUUAUCUCUUCAUCAGUUGAUGGAUAUUUAGGUUAUUGCCACUUUUGGCUAUUAUGAAUAAUGAAUGUUUUUAUGAAUGUUGGUAUACAAGUAUUUUUUUAUUUUUAGAUUUAUUGGGUCAACACUGGUUAACACAGUUAUACAGGUUUCAGGUGCACAGAUCUACAUCAGGUAUUUGAUGGACAUAGGGCAUAUAAUGAGUGGAAAUGCUGAGUCCUAUGGUAACUCCAUAUUUAACCUUUUUUAAAAAUUGAUUUUUAGAGAGAGGGAGGAAGAAAGAGAGAGAAACUGAUGAGAGAGAGAAACAUUGAUCGACUGCCAGUAUUUUGCAGAAUAUCCUUUAACUUGGAUUUGUCUAAUGGUCUCCUUAUAAUUGGAUCCAGGUUAAACAUUUUUGUCAGGAAUUCUUUAUAUAUAGUGUGUUUUCCUUAUUAUAUCAGUGGUAUAAUAAGGUACUCAAUACCAGUUUGUCCCAUUAUUGAUGAUUUGAAUUAGAUAAUUAAAAUGUGAGAUUUCUCCCUUGUAAAGAUACCCUUUCCCCUUUGUAAUUAACAAGUAAUCUGUGGGGUGAUAUUUGAGACUGGGAAUAUCCUAUUUUCAAUAGUUUUGCAUCCAGUGUUAGUGUUCAUUGAUGAUUCUUUGAAUAAUUUAUUUUCAUUUUUGGGGGGAUAUGUUCUUUGUUAUUGAUUUUAGAGAGACGGGAAGAGAGGGAGAGGGAGAGAAACAUCCAUUGGCUAUCUCCUGCAUGCCCCUGACCAGGGUUCGAACCUGCACCCAGGCAUGUGGCCCGACCGGAAAUUGAACUGGCGACCCCUUGGGUCAUUUCUAGAAGUGAGACUUCUAGAGAAUGUGCAUCCCCCAUUGUGAUAGCUAUUCCUCACUAAAGCGAUGGUGCUGAUGUAUGUUCCUGCCUAGCCAUGAGGGGAGUGCCUGCUCGCCCUCUUUUUUGCCAAUCUGGUUCCAGAAACUCACUAGAACCAGCCUGUGCAGAAAGGGGGAUGUCCCAGAACCCAAGCGCAGUUGGGCCUCACAAGGAUUACCUUUGGGACAAGAGACUGAAGUCUGCAGGAGGAGGACCUGCCUUACCUGGGCAUCUGAAUGACAGUUGUUAAGUGAAGUAGUUCUACCGUUGAUCUGGUAAGAGAAUGUCAGCUUCUGUUCCCUGGCUUCCGCCCAGGCUUCCAAGGCCCCCACCCAGUGUCGGCUACAGGGACAGCCUGUGCAGAGGCAGGCUGCAGGACCCUGUGACCUCUCCCGGAAGCAUUCUGGCUUGGUGUGACCAUCAAGAAUGAAACGGGAUGACCAGGUUUCUAGUUAGAGUUCAUGAAGUUCUCAGUGACUCGUAUAGCAAGGUGCAGAAACAAAGCUGUGGGACUCACUAAUUCUUCUAAGUGGAAUCUGGCAAAUGGUGCUUGGACAACUGGACAUUCACAUACAAAAAUUAACAAUAACAACUGUUGACAAGAUGUGGAGAAGCCAAACCCCAACUGCUGGUGGGAAUGUAAAUGGUGCAGACACUUUGGGAAACAGUCCGGCAGUUCCUCAAAAGGUUAAACACAGUUACCAUUUGACCUUGCAAUUCCACUCCAAGGUAACAGAAAUAGCUUCUAUUUGUGAAUACUGGAGUUUAAAAGUAGGAAACUGGCAUUUGAAGCCUAUGCUACAAGUUUACUGGUCAUUUCAAUUUCAAAGGUAUGUAAGAAACACACUUUAUUGCAAUUGGACAGUUCCCAUAGAUUAAAGGUUUCUUCUGAGAAUGUAUUUCAUUAAUCAACUUUUAUGGCUUCCACUGUGAUGCUCCUCUAAGCCAAGAAGUGCCAAAGCUGAUGCCAAGUGAAUUGCCCUCUCACAGUAAGGGAACAAAAUAUUCCAACUCAGAUUAAACAGACAUACCUAAAGAACAAUGAGAUACAGCUCCACUCUGCAGGUGUCAGGUUUCCAGUUUUUAACGAAUUUAUGUAAACUUUACCAUAACUUCUUAGGCAUUCAAAAAUUAUCCAUUUUUAUUUUGGAGAAGCCCCAACUGAUACUGUUUCCAAAUUAGUUUAAUUUUACUAGGAACACUGCAAACAAUUUUAUCGUUUUGGAAACCCCUCAAAAAGUUAUAUUUAAAAAACCACCCCAGAGCCCUGGCCAGUGUUGCUCAAUGGUUACAGUGUCG